CCUACGGGUGGCAGCAGUGGGGGAUAUUGCACAAUGGGGGAAACCCUGAUGCAGCGACGCCGCGUGUGGGAAGACGGUCCUCUGGAUUGUAAACCACUUUCCCCAGGGACGAAGAUGCCGUUACCUUGGGCGUACGCUCCGGCUAACUACGUGCCAGCAGCCGCGGUAAUCCGUGGGGAGCGAGCGUCGUCCGGAAUUACUGGGUGAAAGGGGAGCGUAGGCGGGGAUGCAAGUUGGGUGUCAAAACUACGGGCUCAACUGGGAGUCGCACUCAAAACUGCAGCUCUGGAGUGAAGUAGAGGCAGGCAGAAUUCCUAGUGUAGCGGUGAAAUGCGUAGAUAUUAGGAGGAACACCAGUGGCGAAGGCGGCCUGCUGGGCUAUGACUGACGCUGAGGCUCGAAAGUGUGGGGAGCAAACAGGAUUAGAUACCCGGGUAGUC
rnacentral:rRNA from 1 species